ensembl:lncRNA
AACAGCGCUCACUGUGGCAGUGUUAUCAUGUUUCAUUACAAUAAUUAAGAUUCAGAUUCUACUGUGUAAAUAAUUUGAGUCGUCAACUAUUUCAUGUGUGCAGACAAACACCACCAUAAACCUAUUUUCUAAUAACAAACCAAAUGUACAGAAGAGCUGCAUUAAUGUAAACACUUACCUCAUCUAACAGUCUUCACACAUUUAACUUCCUCUUUUCUAUUAUUGAUAAAGAUAUUUUCCACUGUUAAACAAUCCUUUAAAGGGAAAACAGGGGAGUUUGCAAAAUAGAUUAAAUAUAAAAGUUAUUAAAUGUGAAAAAGGAUUUAGCAAAAUUUAUAUCUACAUUAAGACAGAGGGGCAGAUACAGAUGUCUAAAAGCUGAAUGAACUGAAAUAAUUCAGCAAGAGCAGAGAAAAGGAGUGAUGUCACUAUGAGGAAGUGAGCAGGAAGUUGAUGCUGUAUUCAUCUCUGAGACUGUCUCAUUUGUGAACGUGAGAGCAAGAACAGAGACUGAGAGAGACAGAGAAGCACGAUGGCUGCAUUCACAUGGAUUCAAAUGUCUUCAUUACUGAUACUGAUGCUUCAGUUUAAAGGUAAGUGUACAUAGAAACACAUUCAAUUAAUAAACUGCAUUAUUAUCACAAGUGUUACUUCUUUAUUCUUCCUUUAACUGAGACAGUCAUGAUUAACUUUUUGACUUGAGCUGACUCUUAAAAACUAAAGCUGAAACUUAAACUUGUGUUGUAUUUAAAAUAAACUUCACAUUAUAAACAUAACACUCAUAUUCAUAACAUAUUUGAUGUUUCACAUUUCUCUCUCUCUUUUUCUCAACAGGAACAACUGAGCAACAUCAAACUGUCACAGCUGGACGUGGACAUGAUGUUACUCUGCCUUGUAAAAAUGUGAUACAAGGUCAGCAUAACUGUAUCAGUACUGUCUGGAUCUUCAGUGAUUCAAGCAGCUCAGUAUCAAUCUUUGAAUUUGGGCAGAAUAAAGAAGCCAAACCUAAAUCAGACAGACUGAGUGUUUCUGCAGACUGUUCUCUGGUUAUAAAGAAGGUCACAGAUCAGGAUGUUGGUCGUUACACCUGCAGACAGUUCAAAACAGCAACAGGAUCACAAGAAGGUCCAGACUUUAUGAUUGAUCUGUCUGUUAUUAACAGUAAAGAUGUGAAAACGACAACAAAAUCAACAAUUAAACCAACAUUAAAAAUAACAAAUAUAUGGACAACAAGAGAGGAAGUAAAGACAUCGCUGACAACAACAUCAAAUCAACCAGACGGUGAAGAUGUGAAAACAACAAAAUCAACAACAGUGAAGUUCACCACAAAAACAUCAUCGACAACAAAAUCCACAACAUCAACAAUUAAACCAACCGUGAAAAUAAACACAUGGACAACAAGAGAGGAAUUAAAGACAUCAGCAGGGACACUGACAACAGCAUCAAAUAUUCCAUCUGGAGGUAGAGACUGAAUCUCUUUUUUUUCGAAGUCUGGAUGUCAGACUGAGACUUGACUAUGUGUGGAGAAAUUCAGUAUCAUGUUCAACAUGUUUUAAUAAUCUCUCCAGUUCUUUCAGGAUUUAUCAUCGUUCCUGUGGGUUUAGCAGCUCUCUUAAUAACUGUUGCUACCGUCAACAUGUGGAUAAAAUGUAACGGUGAGAAAAUUCACAGAUGAGACUUUUACACAUAAAAAGUUUUGAGUUUUACUGUUUACUGUACUCUUUUUUUAUUAUUAUUUUGUCUUUUCAGGAAACAAAACACAGAUGGAAAAAACCGCUGUGAGUUUGAACACUCAAUAGUCCUCUCUAACUUUAUACAGCAAAAUCUCUUUGUGGUAUCUGUUCCUGUUUGACACGGUUGACAUACAAAGAUAGAACAUAAUGAAAGAUAAGGAUAUACUGUGCUGACCAUGUUCAACUGAAACUUAACUGUAAUCAUAAGGAAUCUAAAAAAAUCAGAAGAGUGAAAACAUCAGACAAAUGAGCAAAAUAAUAUCACAAAGUAUGAAUAUCUGUCACGGUCCUGUGGGGGUGACCCAGUGUUUUGUGUUUUGAAUUAUUAAUAGUCUUUGUUUUCAUUAUUACUUAGAAUUUUUAGUCUCUUGGUUUCUGCGCUCUUCCUGUGAUCCAUGUUCCCUUUGUCUCCCCUGUCAGUCAUGUCUCCUUGUUUCAGUAUAAAGUCCGUGUCUUCUUGUUUGACUUUGACAGUCUUGUGUGCCAUGUUAGUUUUUUCCGUUUUCCUUCUUCCGGGUCUCGUUGCGUGUGGUUUCUCCAGCUGUGUUUUCCUCCUGUGUCUCAUUCCUUCGUUACCUUUGUGUUCCUCUGUUUGUUGCUGGGUCGUCUGUGUUUCUUCUUCUGCUAUUUCUGUUUUCCUUGGCCCUCGUCUCAGAUUUUCAUGUUUCAUAUUCAGGCUUUUGCCUCGGGUUUAGAUUCUUUAUAUUUGUUUCUAGUUUUUCCCAGUUUAGGUUUGUGUUAGUUUUUCACAGUCUCUGAUCACCUUUUGUUUUUGGUGUUUUUUGCAGCCCACAAUAAAGGCUCGCUUUUUGUUAAACAUUCUCCUGCAUCUCUGUGUCUGCAUUUGGGUCCAUAUUCUCUCCUCUUCAUGCCGUCUGCCUCAUCAGACGUGACAAUAUCAGAGAGAAUCUAAAGUGUGUUGUGUUGUUUUCCACAGGAGCAUAAUGAUGAGGGUGAAGAUGGAGUGAACUAUGAACAUAUUGGAGACUCUUCUGCUUCUGUCAGACUCCACUGAUCAACAACUCAAACAUCAUCUCAUCACAUAAAUUAGCCCAUUGCUGUGAAAACACUGUGUGUCUCUGUGUGUGACUGGGUCUAAGUUUGAGACUUGCUGAGCCUUGACACCUGUGGGACAAGAUUAUAGAAGGUGAGGGUUGCUCCUCCCUACCACUCUCUUCUGGUCAUUGCCCAUGAGAACAGUCCUGAGCUCAUCCUUGGUUCUGGCUCUUAAACGUUCACCAUGAGAGCUCUUUCUGGGCCUCCUUUGUCAUUCUUUCCUCCUUUUACUUGUGCCAGCACACGGUCAUUGUCAUCUGGACAUGUGGGCUUGUGUCUGCAGGACUCUUGGGGUGCUGUGGAGGGCCCAACUAAACUGUGUGUUUCUCUUUCACACUCACAUGCAAGAUUGUGCGUUUUUUUGAGGUGCUGUUUGUUUUUUGUAUAUGUUUUUCUUACAGGUGCAGCAGAUGGUGAUCUGUUGAGUUGAACUAUGUGUGCUGUGUCCUUUUGAUUUUGUCUUCUCUUGAUUUUUCUCUGUUUUUCUUUUUUCCCUUUCUCCUCUCUACCCAUUCUUACCUCUCCCUACCUGUCAGCUCUGGUAUUGAUCAAUUACACAUAAGUUAAUGUGAAUAACAAUGGAAAUGAAUAAAUCAAAUAGAAUAAAAAGAAAGACUAAGAUAAGAAACCUAUACAAAAUUCAUAAAGCUCCUCUUGGCAAAGCAAAUGUGUUGGCACAACAGAGCAUUCAGAUCAUGUUUCUGAUUGUGAAUGCUGUCGGACAAGACAGGUUUAAAAAAAGGAAACAAAAAAUUACAUUUUGAUUUUUUCUCAUAUUUAGCUAAAAACUUUUUCAGGUACAUUUAGAUUUAUCUAACAAGUAAAAUACCAUACAGCAAUUAUUUAUCCUUUAUUUAAUUAUGAUAAACAGAAUCUUUUGUUUGUUUAAAUUUGCUGUUGAUGAUUUUUAUUAAAGGUAACCCACUGAGUUAAAAAUGACAGGUUAUUUAUUGCUGUUUAAAUGUUGUGUUAUUUAUUUGAUUGGUAGUCUUCUUACUUUAUUUUUAUUCCUGAGGUGAGUUUUAAUGAGAUUUACAAACAGUAACAGAUAUAAUGAUCCAAAUUAUAACUUCAGUUUCUAACUAUUGCUUUUUUUGCUGUAUGAUAAUAAGAAUAAAUGUAAACAUGUUUGUGAACAACUUUGUGUGUUUUUGAAAUCUCUCCAUCUCACACCUCACACACACCUGAUCCAUCCACCACAGACCACAGUACAAUCUACCAUCUAUUAUUGUCUCCAGUUUGACUUCCUGUUCUUUCAUAUUCAGUAUUAAACUUUUACUCUG